rnacentral:rRNA from 1 species
UACGUAGGGGGCAAGCGUUGUCCGGAUUUAUUGGGCGUAAAGAGCGUGUAGGCGGUUUGGUAGGUCCGCUGUGAAAACUUGAGGCUCAACCUCAAGCUGUCGGUGGAAACCACAUGGCUAGAGUCCGGAAGAGGAGAGUGGAAUUCCUGGUGUAGCGGUGAAAUGCGCAGAUAUCAGGAAGAACACCAAUGGCGAAGGCAGCUCUCUGGGACGGUACUGACACUGAGACGCGAAAGCGUGGGGAGCGAACAGG